UUACCCCCCACGGGGCCGCAGCUAAGCCAUUAAGGACUCCGCCUGGGAAGUACGCACGGAAGAGUGAAACUCAAAGCAAUUGGCGGGGACCCGAACAAGUAGCGGAGCAUGUGGGUUAAUGCGAAGCAACGCGAAGAACCUUACCUAAGCUUGACAUCCCAAUGACAUCUCCUUAAUCGGAGAGUUCCCUGCGGGGACAUUGGUGACAGGUGGUGCAUGGUUGUCGUCAGCUCGUGUCGUGAGAUGUUGGGUUAAGUCCCGCAACGAGCGCAACCCUUGUCUUUAGUUGCCAUCAUUAAGUUGGGCACUCUAGAGAGACUGCCAGGGAUAACCUGGAGGAAGGUGGGGAUGACGUCAAAUCAUCAUGCC
rnacentral:rRNA from 1 species